GCCGUUGUAGCUCAGUUGGUAGAGCACGCGCAUGGUAAGCGCGAGGCCGGCAGUUCAAUCCUGCCCAACGGCU
rfam:Parcubacteria bacterium GW2011_GWF2_52_12 TY68_C0012, whole genome shotgun sequence.